AGAGUUUGAUCCUGGCUCAGGAUGAACGCUGGCGGUAUGCUUAACACAUGCAAGUCGAACGGUGUCUUCGGACACAGUGGCGGACGGGUGAGUAACGCGUGAGAAUCUGGCUCUAGGUCUGGGACAACCACUGGAAACGGUGGCUAAUACCGGAUGUGCCGAGAGGUGAAAGGUUAACUGCCUAGAGAUGAGCUCGCGUCUGAUUAGCUAGUAGGUAGUGUAAUGGACUACCUAGGCGACGAUCAGUAGCUGGUCUGAGAGGACGAUCAGCCACACUGGGACUGAGACACGGCCCAGACUCCUACGGGAGGCAGCAGUGGGGAAUUUUCCGCAAUGGGCGAAAGCCUGACGGAGCAAUACCGCGUGAGGGAGGAAGGCUCUUGGGUCGUAAACCUCUUUUCUCAGGGAAGAACACAAUGACGGUACCUGAGGAAUAAGCAUCGGCUAACUCCGUGCCAGCAGCCGCGGUAAUACGGAGGAUGCAAGCGUUAUCCGGAAUGAUUGGGCGUAAAGCGUCCGCAGGUGGCAAUGUAAGUCUGCUGUUAAAGAGUCUAGCUCAACUAGAUACAAGCAGUGGAAACUACAUAGCUAGAGUACGUUCGGGGCAGAGGGAAUUCCUGGUGUAGCGGUGAAAUGCGUAGAGAUCAGGAAGAACACCGGUGGCGAAGGCGCUCUGCUAGGCCGUAACUGACACUGAGGGACGAAAGCUAGGGGAGCGAAUGGGAUUAGAUACCCCAGUAGUCCUAGCCGUAAACGAUGGAUACUAGGCGUGGCUUGUAUCGACCCGAGCCGUGCCGUAGCUAACGCGUUAAGUAUCCCGCCUGGGGAGUACGCCGGCAACGGUGAAACUCAAAGGAAUUGACGGGGGCCCGCACAAGCGGUGGAGUAUGUGGUUUAAUUCGAUGCAACGCGAAGAACCUUACCAAGGCUUGACAUGUCGCGAAUCCUGGUGAAAGCCGGGAGUGCCUUCGGGAGCGCGAACACAGGUGGUGCAUGGCUGUCGUCAGCUCGUGUCGUGAGAUGUUGGGUUAAGUCCCGCAACGAGCGCAACCCUCGUUUUUAGUUGCCAGCAUUAAGUUGGGCACUCUAGAGAGACUGCCGGUGACAAACCGGAGGAAGGUGGGGAUGACGUCAAGUCAGCAUGCCCCUUACGCCUUGGGCUACACACGUACUACAAUGCUCCGGACAGAGGGCAGCAAGCAUGCGAAUGCAAGCAAAUCCCGUAAACCGGAGCUCAGUUCAGAUCGCAGGCUGCAACUCGCCUGCGUGAAGGAGGAAUCGCUAGUAAUUGCAGGUCAGCAUACUGCAGUGGAUUCGUUCCCGGGCCUUGUACACACCGCCCGUCACACCAUGGAAGCUGGUAGUGCCCGAAGUCAUUACUCCAACCUUUCGGGGAGGAGGAUGCCUAAGGCAGGACUGGUGACUGGGGUGAAGUCGUAACAAGGUA
rnacentral:rRNA from 1 species